GAUGAACGCUGGCGGCAUGCCUAAUACAUGCAAGUCGAACGAAGUCUUUAGGAAGCUUGCUUCCAAAGAGACUUAGUGGCGAACGGGUGAGUAACACGUAGGUAACCUGCCCAUGUGCCCGGGAUAACUGCUGGAAACGGUAGCUAAACCGGAUAGGUAUGAGGGAGGCAUCUUCCUCAUAUUAAAGCACCUUCGGGUGUGAACAUGGAUGGACCUGCGGCGCAUUAGCUGGUUGGUGAGGUAACGGCCCACCAAGGCGAUGAUGCGUAGCCGACCUGAGAGGGUGAACGGCCACAUUGGGACUGAGACACGGCCCAAACUCCUACGGGAGGCAGCAGUAGGGAAUUUCGUCAAUGGGGGACCGUACAGAGCAUAGCGCGUGUGUGAAGAAGGUACGUUCGGUAGUCGU
rnacentral:rRNA from 1 species